rnacentral:rRNA from 1 species
UACAGAGGUCUCAAGCGUUGUUCGGAUUCAUUGGGCGUAAAGGGCGCGUAGGCGGCGGGGUAAGUCGGGUGUGAAAUCUCAGGGCUCAACCCUGAAACUGCACUCGAUACUGCUCUGCUUGAGGACUGGAGAGGAGACUGGAAUUCACGGUGUAGCAGUGAAAUGCGUAGAUAUCGUGAGGAAGACCAGUGGCGAAGGCGGGUCUCUGGACAGUUCCUGACGCUGAGGCACGAAGGCCAGGGGAG